AGGAUAAUAGGGUGCUCGGUGUAAUAAAAUGUGCUUCGCUCAUCUGCUGCUGCUACAGAUGAGUAAGGAGUACUGGAGCUCACCAACUGCAUCUUGACCUGGAUCGAUGCCCUCUUCCUCUUCCAUGUUCAUAUCAUCUUGGAUUGCUGCCUGUUCUGAAGUUGGUGCAAUGGAGCUUGGAGCUCCACCUGCUGGACCUGGAGCCUGUUCAGGUACUGCCACGGUAUAAGUUCAUGCAACAUCAAGCACUAUAGUACUCCAACAUCAUGCAAUAGUACUCU